rnacentral:rRNA from 1 species
AUGGAAGAAGAAGAACAACAUCUCAGGCGGGAGAUACAGACCCCGCCCACCAUGGAAAGAGAUGGAGAGCAGCUGGUAGGAGAAGGAGAAGCAGCAGCUCCGUCGGGAUCAACAAGCAGUUCAACUAAACACACACCUAGGAUAGCUAUUCAGAAAGUAAUAGAGGUGGUAGCCGGACUGUCAGAUUACAAAAGAUUCCUAGUUGAGGAGAUUGGAUUUGAGGGUGUACUGCGUAUUCCCAUGAUCCAGAAAAUCAAUCUGAAGUUUAGCAAGUUCCUCAUGACAAAGGUGGAUGUGGAAGAGCACUGCAUCAUCCUGGGGACUGAUAAAUCUGAUCGCAGCUUAAGCUCGCUUGAAGUGUUCAUCGGCAAGGAAAUAAAUGAACUGUCCAGCCGAUUGGAGAAGGAUUCCUUCAAGAUGGCGUUUGUUGUCUUUGUGAUGGGAAAUCUGUUCGCGCCGUGCACCAGGCAUGAUCACUCAACCAUCGACUACUGGGGCGCCAUCAAGGAUGCAGAAAACAUCGCCCUCUUCAAUUGGUGCAAAUAUUCAGUCAAUUUUUUACUUGAAGCAGUCCGCAAACUAAAGUUAGAAAUUGAUGCAAACAUAACACCCAACCACCUCUAUGGGUGUCACCUCUUCCUGCAGGUGUUCGUACUAGACAAUGUUGAACUUGGCAUCAUGAACUUAAAGCAAACAACAAUUCCACGAAUACAUUUAUUCGACGGGGAGACACUGAAACGGAUGAUCCUCGUGUGCUCAGCAAGGAAGCUAGGCAAAACCAUCUUCAUAGCCCCUGAGGCAAGACGUUGGAAUGCCAUGUGCUACACAUGGCACAACUACAUAAACGAGAAGCAUGCCAAGAAGAAAUCAAUGGACCACAAGGCUGAAGGAUCGGCAAACAAGUACGCACUUGUCAUACACAACGCAGACAACAUUCGACAGGGAGACUACAUCAACACUGACACAGCCAUAAGUAACCUUGCACACACACAUGGAAGCAACGUCGAAUUCAGCCCCGGCGACUACGCUCGGUGGAUCCAGAUGCAAAACCCAGAGUUGGCCGCUUCUCCAUUAGGAUGGGCACUGAAACAGCACAAUGCCAAAUGUGUGCAUAUCGCAAACGAAAUGAAAAGGAACAUUGCACGUGAGAACAUUCGAUUCACAAAAAAACUGCUCCAAGUUUAUUCCAACAGACCCAACACGGGAACACCCGCACCCAAUGCUUCUUAUCGCGCUGCCGGAACAACGAAAGGUGUCGACGGCUCAGACGCACCACCAUUUGAACUGGACAUCGAUGGCCACAACGAAGCCAGUACGCCUAUCAAGAACGAUGGUAAGGCAACUGCAAUUUCACCUACCUUGGCGACAAAGACGUACUCAGACCAACUAGUAGGGCAGCUCAUGAUGCUGAACGAUGAGAUCGGAGACACCGAGGGGCACAUUGUCUUUGGUCAAGUUAAUGUCGCGGCUGUAACAAAGAUCAAAGUUGCUCACACCCGGUUCACAAAAGACCCAUGGUCCAGUAACAGGAUGGUUCGCAGACACGGCGCAGGGGUCUUGAAAGCCAUCAGAGAAUGGAUGCGGUCAAGAACACCCUAUGAUCUAGCAAGGGAUUGGGUCUCACGCCCCGACCCACGGAUCAUUGCAGUCAGCGGCAAUGCCAUCAAGUCACAAAUAUGCGACGGUUCCGAACUUGACCACGAGUUGGGGUCCCUGAUCUUUCGUCGAAUUGGCCAGAUGGAGUCACAUGCGCACCGUGGCAGCCCCGACGAGCAAUACCGGUUGCUUAUCGAGCCCGAUUUUGCGACGGAGGACACGUCACGCAAAACUUGCCUUAUGUACGCGGCCGAGAAGAUACAUGACGCCCUUUUCAAUUGCAUCGAAGAAUUCUUCACCGAGUGGCACUGCAGCAGACUUUCAUGGACGAAGAAGACACCUCUACUAUCCACUACAACAUUCACAAGGGCCGAGAGUGUCCUGUGUGUCGCCCACUUACUAAGACACUUCAAUGGGAAUUCACUGGCAAAACCUCUUACAAGGACAGCUAUUGCCAACGAAAGGGACUCACUCCUCAUCGAGCUGAUCCACAUGGAAGGCAACACCGCCCCCCUGCAGCUGGAAGGACUAGACGUUGUCGCCAACGCGCUGAACGAGUUGAUGAAAGACUCAGGGGUUUAG